rnacentral:misc_RNA from 1 species
CCUCUCUCCAGCUGUGGACUCAUCCCAACCAACCUUGACAGAACGCCAAUGUGAAUUAGGCCACCUUACAGGAUCCAAGUCACUUAUGCCAGUUAUUGUACCCAUGUAGCGACGGACACUUGAUUCUUCUGUUUCAAAUAGCAUCCUAAAGCGCAUACCAACAGAAACCCGGGUAUGAUAGACUGCUUUAACAUACUUGGCCAAUGGUAUGACAAAUUCCGAUGGGCUAGCCCUUGGAUUGUAAAAUAUUGUGAAACGGCUAUUUGUUGCAGCUGCAUGAGCUGCAGCAGCAAGAAGCCCCAAGUGCAUGCUG